GUAUGUUGCUUUGCAAAAUGACUAGAUGAUAUAUUUGUUUCCCACUGCAGUGUCAGGACUGUGGCACAUUUGGACAGCCUGGGAAGAGGGAGACUGCACCCUUGCUUGGGAGGACAAUGAUAGAACCUUCAAGACUGUGGCCAAUGCCAUUUGGGCAAAGGAAACCAAACAGAUUUCCAGUUUUGGAGCACUGAUUCAAUCAUCAUCAGGAAAGCUGUGAUCUGGAUGCCCCACACAGUCUCCUUCUUAAGCACUACUCAACACUCCAAGUCACAUCCAGAGAGCCUUUAGACGCAUUUCUCUUCUCUCCUCUCCAGACUACAACAUUGGAGUUCCACUGCAUUUAUUUCUAGACAACUGACAAAUAUUCCAGCUAGAAUACCUUUGCUGAGCUCCUGACUGAGCCAGGCCAAGCCUGCCACAUGGAAAGGACUUUUUACCUGUGUCCUGUUUAUCUGCAAGUGGGUCGGAACGUGUGUGUAUCCCAUUAACUCUGUCCUCACUGCUCUCAAGAUGUUCCGCACAAAUGAUUUUAUUUUUUUUUGUAAAAAAAUAUAUUUUACUAGGCAGUUUUAUGAGAACUGACAAAAUGCCUCGUAAAUAACCCAGCAGGAAAUAUGGGGUAAAUAAAAUUUUUACAACUUUAUCAUAAACCUGAGAAGUCUUUGGUUCCUUUUCGAAUGGAAUGAGCAAGGUAUUUCAUUAAAGGAAAAGACAUGCUCUCUAAAGCCCAACAAUUAUAGACACAAUGCCUUUUUAACCUGCAAUUCAGUCAAACAGGUUUGGUGGCAGUGGAAAAUGUUAAAGGCCCUGUUUUGACACUUUGGGUCAUGCUCCCCACAGAUCAAUUUGUGCUGUAGGUUCCCUACACAGCAGAGCUGGAAAACUGGUGCGUGCCUGACCUGUCCCCAAACCCAGGACCUCUAAGGAAACACGUAUCUGGGAGAACCUGCUCAGGACAGGCUGCCUUUGUACAUCUCCGUGUAUGGGGCUGUGUCUGGGCCCCUAAGUGCAAAGGGAAUGCAAACAAAUAUGAUCCUCAGGUCUUCAGCUCAAGCCUGAAAUGCAAAGAUUUGGUCAAAGACCAAGAGUCUGAAAUAGAAAUGCUUGGAACAAGCCUCAGUCCUUGAACUUUGUGUGAAGGGGGAAUUCAGAUCUCAGAAGGAGGAUCUUUGAGUGUGAUAUUUUGGUAUGGUGGGAAGACAGGAGGGGGUGUCACUUUUAAGUUCUUUUCACAUGUAAAAACUCAUAUUGACAUCCAUGACUAUUUUCUACUUACAGUGAAACAGAUACUGGGCAAAAUACAAUCUGUUCCUGGGUGCAUAAAAGGUAGGGAAACUAUCUUCCAAAAGAAGUGAAAAGGUGCCAUUGUAGGCCUGCAUGGUCUGAUGAAAUACCAGAUGAGGUGAUCUAUAGAGAAGGCCUUUGCCAUUUCUCAUGCCUCUUGUUAUCUGAUCCCCACCCUAUUUGUGCCUCCAGCUUGGCUAAAAACUUGAGAGAGAGCAAUCCUGAAAAGGCUGGGAUUCACAGAAGCACUGGAGAUGUUCAGAUACCCUUGUUAUCUUCCCUGCAUUGACAGCAGACCAGAGGUGACAGCACCACCCAGGCCUCACCUUGCUGGCACCGCAGGCUGUACUCCACAGCCCUGCUCCCCACCUCUUCCCUGGGGCAUUCUUGCAUAAAGCCCACCACUCAGGGUGGGAUGGGCCCCACCUUCCCUUGGAGGCACUGCUGCAUUCCCUGCCUUCCCUCGCCGUCCCUCCCUGCUCCACAGCCCUUCCCACCUACCCACCACAUUGCCUGGCUGCUCAGGACAUCUGCGGCAACUUCCUACAGCAAUGUCAUGUGAGCAAAGCAUCUAAAGCUUUGGCAGCUAAAAUGCCAUGUAAACAAAGAGGCUAAUUUCCAAGGGGAGAUGCCUCACCACAAAAUCUCCCUCUCUGCCCUGCCACAGUUGGUACUGAUUUGACUGUCUCUGCAGAGAAGCCAAGGAUCAAAUGCUCCAUGGCGCCAGACUGUUUUCUUUUGCAGCCUGCAGGUCACCAGGAUACUUAAGAAGUUUGCGUUAAUUAUACCAUGUUUGCCAUCAAAGAGGGGAUAUUAACCCUUUCGAGCUGUUGCAGGAAAGCAGUGGAGUCAUUUGAAAGAACUGCUGAAGCCUCUGCUCAGAGAAGCACGCUCCUCCGGGCGCUGGGGGAUGCACCACCCCUCCUGACAGCCUGAUGGAUUAUGGCCCCAGUUCUGUCAGCAGAUCCAACCAAACCAGCAAACCAACGGCAGAGAGGCAGCCCCCAGUGAUCUCAGCCUCAUUUCUGCCCUUCCUCCCUGUGAAGUCCACCGGGGCCUGGAUGCCUGAGACAGCACGCGCUGGCUGCAUGUGGAUGUGGUGGCCACACUGCCCAAAGUUUACCCAAGCAGCUAAUCUGCAUUUUUAAGCGACAGCUGCCAACACAACAGAACAAAAUGCUUCAACCUCUAAAGUCUGCAAGCAGGAUGGUUUUUGUGCCCCAUUAUAGUUUUGGCUGUGCUAGAACUUACACAGGCAUUUACCAAAAUUGUGUUGCAGCUAUCACCCCUUACUAGUGCAGGAUUGCCUUCCUCAGUUUCUUCCCAACAGUUUGUCUGAUCUAGGUUGUCUGGUUUGAGGAACAAUAGGGUAGUUGGGAGAGGGGCUCUUUUUUCAAAUAAAUCUUUCAUGCUAGGGAGAAGAAUGAAGGUUGUGUCAAAAUAAUCACCAUCUUGGGCUUAUUAAAAUCCCGUAUUACAGC